UACGUAGGGUGCAAGCGUUGUCCGGAAUUACUGGGCGUAAAGCGUGCGCAGGCGGUUUUGUAAGUCAGAUGUGAAAUCCCCGGGCUUAACCUGGGAACUGCGUUUGAAACUACAAGGCUAGAGUGUGGCAGAGGGGGGUGGAAUUCCACGUGUAGCAGUGAAAUGCGUAGAGAUGUGGAGGAACACCGAUGGCGAAGGCAGCCCCCUGGGUUAACACUGACGCUCAGGCACGAAAGCGUGGGGAGCAAACAGG
rnacentral:rRNA from 1 species